ensembl:lncRNA
GAAGUAAACCUGGAUAUCAGCAGUCAAGGUCGAGUGAGUGAGGGAUACUCUGCGACGGCGGCCUCGGAGUGCAGCCCCAGCGUGUGAGCCGAGGACCGGGGUGUUCUCAGGAGCCGUAGACUGAGAGAACAGCCCUCUGAGGGCAGGAACUUCCCAGAUGAUGAGGCAGCUUUCUUUUGCACCUGAUGAGGAUUUGCAUCCCUGGAUAUCCGAGAGCUAAAUGCAGAUGGAUUGAAUCUGUGGCAGAGCGCCCCAUACCAGGCAGUAAUGCUGAAUAUCAGUGGUCAAGGUCGAUGGAGCGAGGUGGUCCACUGGGCAGGUGUCCCGGCCCUGGGAUGCUGGAGGCCAGGUGCUGCUGCUGCCCUGGGCAUGCCAAGGGACAGAGGCGAGCAGGUAUUGUCCGGGCCACCUCCGGAGUCGGAUGGAGAUUUGAGGUGAGCCUGGGCCAGUGGUGCAGAGGGAGCCCGUGCAUUAUUCUUCUGGAGGGCAAUAGUCAUAGUUUCUGUUUUGUUGUCUUAAGUACCACAAGUAGGUGCAGAGCCUAAGUUUGGAAACGGCCGAUGCUGGGAUUGCCUCUGGGCACAUGUGCUGAGCUCUCCCUGCAGGGAACUGUCAGCCCUGAAUGCCUGUGCAAUAACUGCAGCUGCCCAGGCAGGCACAGGAAACUAUUCCACACAUGAAAUUGCCAUGACCCAAGGCCCUCCUGGAGAGAGUGUAGAGAGUUAGAGCACUGAUCCUGCUCCCUGCUUUCCCAGUAGUGCAUGAACAUGAUUUCAUCCUGUUCGUGAGAGCUCUAAGGACAAUAACCACUGAGGUGCCACUGAUGAUGCCACUUUUCUGAUGGGCCUGGCCCAGAACCAUAGCCCAGCAGGGUUCUGUGGGAGCAGUUCAGUUCCCCCUCCAUUCCUGCACUCUGGGCAGUUCUAGGAGACAUCUGAUCCAUUUCCUAGGCUGCCACCACAGCCUAAGCUCCCACCCCCACUGGGCCGUGAUGGCAUCAGCCCCCUCAGAGCCAGCCACCAGCUUUGGCCCUCGCGCCACUGCUGCACCUCAGGCCCGCCCAGGGGAGCUGAAAUAAAGCCUGGAACUCUCAAGGGUAAACUGGCAGCACAACCACAAACCUCCCUCACUUGAGAGUAAAGAGGUGUCCCUGUAUUUACACACAUCCAGGAACAGUACUGCUCUAGAGCAGUCUUGGAUUUACUUUUUUAUCAGUUGAACUGGCACAGCUGCCCCCUGAUGCCAUUAAAUUGUCCAUCCCCACAAUCCCUGGUUACCCUUGGCUGUGGGGUUUUUGCUGUCCCACAGUGAGUUAGGAGGGAUCUCUGGCCAGCCUCAUGGCCCAAGAGCAUUUGAAAUCCUAAUCCUCACUUCUUUGACUACUGAAUUUCUUAAAAGCCACUCUGCAUUGUGCAGACAAGUGCCUUGGUCCUACUGGGAACUGCACAUCUCUAACAGCUGUUAUCAGUUAUUCCAACUGAGUAAAUAAGAGCUGUUAUCAGUUAUUCCAACUGAGUAAAAUAAUUAUUAAGGAAAAGAGGAACCAGUUAAACCAAACAACUUUUGCCUGAUGUUUUCCUCAGCAAUGAGUUGGGAGCUCAGCAGCAACGCCUUCAGACAGGCACAGUGUCUGAUAUAAACUAUAUCUGGGCACACAUAAAAAAUGUUAUAUAUAAAUGGAUAGCUAUAUGCCCUAAUAUAUAAUACAUAUUUAUAUUACAGAGUUACGUAAGGUAUAAAUAUCUGCCCUAUAUAUAACCACAAAUAUUUUUUAUCACAAACUACCUCUAACUUACCCCCUGACGCCUGACGCUAGGGAUGUAACAUUUUAGGGAUCCUAAAAUCAAACAUAUGCAGGAAAAUAAACCAGGAUUUUAUGCCAUUAAUUCCAAGAUGUUUUCCUGGAUGUGUACUGCUGCGUCUAUUUUUCUGUAAGAUCUUGUGCCUUAUCCCUGAAGUGCACUCAGAAUUGUCAGGAUCAUGAAAUCCAUUUGGGAUUUUACUGUUGCUGCAGUAUCCAGUGAGAUGAGUUUUUUCAAAAUUAUUUCUCUGGGACCGAGCACAUCUCCUCAAGUUCCUUCUCACUUUCUGCAUCCUGGAAAUGCAAAAAGGGAAAAGAUAAAUGUGCAGCUCAACUGAAACAAAUAAAAAGCAUCAUUUCCCUUCCUUCUCUCCAACCCCAAAUCAGUUUUUAAGCAUAUCAUGGCAUCUUGGAAUGGUUUGGGUUGGAAGGAGUCUGGAAGCGCAUCCAGUUCCGCUCGCUUCCACUGGACCAGGCUGCUCCAAGCCCCGUCCAAGCGUGAGUCUGAAAAACCCCAAACAAGUCCCAGAUCUAGACAGCCCACUGGAAGAAAACCCAAAAUUAAUUAGAACAGCAGAGCCUGGCUUUAGUCUGGCACUUCUUCUUGACAGCACGCAGAGCUGAACGGAGUGGUCAGGGCACACUCGAGGGCAAACUGGGAGAAAUCACGGGGGGGUCUGGACAAUGUCCUGGCGGGGCGGGAUCUGCCCUGGGAUGGAGACCCAGCGCCGCCACCGAGCGCCGUCCCGCUCGCCCCCCCCCUCCGGCCCCAGGGUGGGUCGGUCCCCGCAGCGCGCGCCCCUUCGGCCGGGCUCGCCCACUCUCCGUGAAGAGGGGCGGGAGAGGGGGCUAAGCAGAAGCUGCGGAGACAGGAU